rnacentral:rRNA from 1 species
ACUCAAAUGAAUUGACGGGGGCCCGCACAAGCGGUGGAGCAUGUGGUUCAAUUCGACGCAACGCGAAGAACCUUACCUAGGCUUGAACCGCAGGUGACUGGUUUGGAAACAAGCCUUUCCGCAAGGACACCUGUAGAGGUGCUGCAUGGCUGUCGUCAGCUCGUGUCGUGAGAUGUUGGGUUAAGUCCCGCAACGAGCGCAACCCUUGCCCUUAGUUGCCAUCGGGUCAUGCCGGGCACUCUAAGGGGACUGCCCCGGAAAACGGGGAGGAAGGUGGGGAUGACGUCAAGUCAUCAUGGCCUUUAUGCCUAGGGCUACACACGUGCUACAAUGGACGGCACAAAGGGCUGCUAACCCGCGAGGGGGAGCCAAUCCCACAAAUCCGUCCUCAGUUCGGAUUGCAGUCUGCAACUCGACUGCAUGAAGUUGGAAUCGCUAGUAAUCGCGGAUCAGCACGCCGCGGUGAAUACGUUCCCGGGCCUUGUACACACCGCCCGU